GUGCCAUUUGUUUUGAAUCAGAUGAUUAUUAUUGAUCAUUUGUAGCAUACCAGUUACAGAUGUAUAUUGUUUAGCACUAAGACAAGUCAAUACAGCUUUAAUUCACAAAGUGUAGUAAUCUGAGUGUACUAACCCGAGUGAACUAACCCGAGUGAACUAACCCGAGUGUAUAAAUUCGAGUGUAGUAAUCCGAGUGUAGUAACCCGAGUGUAGUAAUCCGAGUGUACUAACCCGAGUGUACUAACCCGAGUGUACUAACCCGAGUGUAGUAACCCGAGUGUAGUAACCCGAGUGUACUAACCCGAGUGUACUAACCCGAGUGUACUAACCCGAGUGUAGUAACCCGAGUGUAGUAACCCGAGUGUACUAACCCGAGUGUAGUAACCCGAGUGUAGUAACCCGAGUGUAGUAACCCGAGUGUACUAACCCGAGUGUAGUAACCCGAGUGUAGUAACCCGAGUGUAGUAAUCUGAGUGUAGUAACCCGAGUGUAGUAAUCUGAGUGUAGUAAUCUGAGUGUAGUAAUCUGAGUGUAGUAAUCCGAGUGUAGUAACCUGAGUGUAGUAACCUGAGUGUAG
ensembl:lncRNA